GGCUCAAGUCAGUAAUUUGUUGAUUUCGGAGCUAUUAAAUCCUAGAUCGCCCGAGCAACACCAAUUAUUUAGGGAAUAGCUGGGGUUUCAAUGGAAGUCAUGGGAUUGAUGCUUGGGGAGUUUGUAGAUGAAUAUAUUAUUCGUGUGGUACUGGGGUUAGUGUUGAAGCUGUUCACCCUGUGUUCCAGACUAAUAUGUUGGAUAUGCUUAAGCAGACUUGAAGGGUAUGAUUGGCUAUAAAAGGGUUGGAAACAAUCAGCAGAGAACAUCGCUGGUCCAAGACAAUCCUGCACUCUACCUGCACUUUAAAAGUUCAGAGAGGAGCUUUUUAGAUCCUCUCCACCUUCCAUCCACCACCAUCUCGAGAAUCAGCACCAUCAACACUUCAUUUACACCUCUCGGACUUGGGAGAAUUGCCUCUCACCUAUUUGUGAAAUCACUCAACAGCUCAACCCUAAAACUCACCACCAGUUUCCCUCACAACUUUUUUCAUCCCGUCACCACCAUAGAUUCCACCUCCACGGACCACCAGCACCUCCC